GCCGCAGCGAACAAAGCGGUCGGUUUUGUGAGGGAAAGGAGCCGGGCGCCAUCUUGGAAAAGCCUUACACAAGAAGACCCACAAUGCAAAGCGCUAAACCUGAGGGAAAGUUGUCCAAAAACCAAACAAUUCCCUCACAAAACAUGGUUGAAAACACACAUUGUUUAAGCCCUGGCGCCCUUUUACACAAAUAAGUGGAUAAUAAGUCCAUUUUCCUCCAAAAUUCCCUCAGCUUUUGUUUUAUUUUGUAUUUUUGUUGCUUUGUGCCUUGAACCAAAGAACACUGGAGCCUUUUCUGGGCUACUUUUUAUCCCUUCCAUCCUAAAUCAUGACAAAACCAAAAGAACAGUUAUCGCAGAUGGGCUGCCAUUAGGACAAAGAUCUAUGUUGGUCCCACUCCCAAGACAAUAAUGCAAAGUCUUUGACCUGACAUCUCAGCCUCCUUUUUUCAAACAAAAGCAACAGAGGGAAUUCAACCUUCCUGCCCAAACAGUGGCCAUUCUCUCUACCUGCAGCCAAUAGAAAGUGAUCAGGAAGUCCAGAUGAAAGAACUACCUUCCCUGUCCCGGAGGUCCUGCCCCCUUUCAGGGGAUGGCUUUGAAAUCAUACAUAGACAACCAAUUACAAAAUCAGAAAUCAACUAUAACAGG